rnacentral:rRNA from 1 species
GACGAACGUUGGGGGCGUGCUUAACACAUGCAAGUCGAACGGAAAGGCCCUGCUUUUGUGGGGUGCUCGAGUGGCGAACGGGUGAGUAACACGUGAGUAACCUGCCCUUGACUUUGGGAUAACUUCAGGAAACUGGGGCUAAUACCGGAUAGGAGCUCCUGCUGCAUGGUGGGGGUUGGAAAGUUUCGGCGGUUGGGGAUGGACUCGCGGCUUAUCAGCUUGUUGGUGGGGUAGUGGCUUACCAAGGCUUUGACGGGUAGCCGGCCUGAGAGGGUGACCGGCCACAUUGGGACUGAGAUACGGCCCAGACUCCUACGGGAGGCAGCAGUGGGGAAUAUUGCACAAUGGGCGGAAGCCUGAUGCAGCAACGCCGCGUGCGGGAUGACGGCCUUCGGGUUGUAAACCGCUUUCGCCUGUGACGAAGCGUGAGUGACGGUAAUGGGUAAAGAAGCACCGGCUAACUACGUG